rnacentral:lncRNA from 1 species
AAUUUAACCAAUGAGCUCUCUCUCCCGAAUCUGGCGGAUACGACUCCCAGCAUGACAUACCAAAACAACUCAUAAAACAGCAUAAAAUAUGUUUUUUGUUUUGGUUGAUAGGAUCCCGGACAGAUCAUUGUUGUGGACUGUCUGAGUUUUUAAAGAAAAGUGUCGGAGGGCGAAGGAUUGCGGCAACAAAAAAAUACGCACUGCUUUACGGUACCUGGUCCCCCGACAACGACCAACCAAGCGGCGGCGGACGUGGUACGGAGGACGCUUCUAGAAACCU